rnacentral:rRNA from 1 species
AUUGAACGCUGGCGGCAGGCCUAACACAUGCAAGUCGAACGGUAACAGGAAGCAGCUUGCUGCUUUGCUGACGAGUGGCGGACGGGUGAGUAAUGUCUGGGAAACUGCCUGAUGGAGGGGGAUAACUACUGGAAACGGUAGCUAAUACCGCAUAACGUCGCAAGACCAAAGAGGGGGACCUUCGGGCCUCUUGCCAUCGGAUGUGCCCAGAUGGGAUUAGCUAGUAUGUGGGGUAACGGCUCACCUAGGCGACGAUCCCUGGCUGGUCUGAGAGGAUGACCAGCCACACUGGAACUGAGACACGGUCCAGACUCCUACGGGAGGCAGCAGUGGGGAAUAUUGCACAAUGGGCGCAAGCCUGAUGCAGCCAUGCCGCGUGUAUGAAGAAGGCCUUCGGGUUGUAAAGUACUUUCAGCGGGGAGGAAGGGAGUAAAGUUAAUACCUUUGCUCAUUGACGUUACCCGCAGAAGAAGCACCGGCUAACUCCGUG